UGACAUAUUCAAUUGAUCAAGUACUAAUUAAAGCUUUAAAUUGAGGCAAUUGAAACAGUUACCUCUUUGUCAUCAAAUAAGGUUUUGUGAUCAUCUUCGUAGAUCAUCAAAGCGUCUUUGUAGUACAUAAUCUUGACGAAGGUUAUAGUGUUUUCGCUUAGUCUAGCUAUGAAUAUCUUUCUAACACCUUCAAAAUUACUCGCAUCUUCUGAGCUAGAGACUGGGGAUCAUUUAAUGUUGGCUUGCUGUUUUACAGGGUAAUCUGGAGCUUCGUUCAGUCCAGACUAAAGCUGCAUCCUAUGCGGUUCAUGAACUGGGAUGAGAUUUUGUCAUGGAUUCGAAUGACAAGGACUUUUGCUCCUUCUACACUAAGGAAACUAGUAUCUCAAGCGCGCGGUGAUUUACGCGACUUGGAAGCAGAGAAAUAGCAUGUUCCAUAAUUCACAACAUGUUGCUCCUGCUUUUGUUUUUAAGAUCCUUGAUCGGAAAUUCAUCAACUCUAUAAAUGCAAGGAGGCACCGAAGAAAGUUUUUUAACCUUAUGGGCCUUUCACCUUUGGCUCGAAUGAAGUUUCUACCUUGAAAUUUGUUUACUUCCUUGUUUUUUUUAUCCUUAUUUUUUUAGCCAAGGAACUAAAUCUUAGAUAUUUACAUGUAAAUCAUAAUUCUUCAUUUUAUAUGAUAUUUACCCAUUUAGCAACA